rnacentral:rRNA from 1 species
AAUGUCAGAGCAAUUUCGUGUUACGACAUUUUAAUCUGUGGAUGGCUCAUUAUAAAAGUGGUAAUAUAAAUAAUCCACUAAAGUUAAAGGGAUAACCGCACCAACGGUGUGGAUAAUACCUGAAAACUCAGUCAUACUGAAAUCGGUCUGGAUAAUUUGAUGAUCAAACCAGAUCGGAGAUUCUUUUGGGCAACCAAAAGGAUCUGAAGACCAUAUCGACACAUACGUGAUAAAAAAGGUAAUUCUCUUUAUGGGGAUUGCUAAAAUAUGGUGGAUCUUAUUAGUCGCUUAUCUAUCAGCUUUGGUUGUAAGUUCAUUGUACUUACAAGGCAGCAACGGAUACGGAAGACAAGUGUCUGACUCCGGAGAAGGAGCCAGAGUAAAGGCUACUACAUCUAAGGACGGCAGCAGGCGCGUAAAUUGCCCAAUCUCAAUUUGAGGAGGCAGUGAAGAGAAAUAUUGACUAUUAACUAACCGUUAAUAGGUAUGUUACAUAAUAAAUGCGUGUAGUUUAUAUCACUAUACUAGAAGCUAUUGGAGGGCAAGUCUGGUGCCAGCAGCCGCGGUAAUACCAGCUCCAAGAGCGUAUUUUAAUAUUGAUGCGUUUAAAACGUCCGUAGCUGACCUAAUAUCAAGUUUUGUGGGGACUGUUAGUGACUCAGCUUAUUUUGAAUGAUCUAAAAUUUGUUUAACGUGUAGUUGAGAAUAUUAAGGUUCGCUUUAAUAUUCUCUCAGGGAAACUUUCCUAGGCUUACAAUUACUGUUGAAUGUGGAAGUGAGUUCGCUCAUGGAAACAUUUAACUCUUUGUGGUAAUUCUCAUUGAAAUUUUAUGCUAUUUAUGGUUCAUAAAUCGUUUGGGGACUGUGAAAAAAUCAGAGUGCUUAAGGCUUUGUAAUGUUCGUGACUUCGGUUAUGGUGCAAGUAUGUUCAAGCAUGGUAUCCUACUAUAUUCCGCAAGGGAUAAUCAGAAAUGAAAGUGAUGGAAGAUGUAUGUACUAUAUGGAAAGAGGUGAAAUUCAAUAACCCAUGUAAGACGCCCUAAGGCGCAAGCAUUUGUCUAUGUCAUCUUUAUCAGUGAGGGUCGAUAGCCAGGGGAGCGAAGAUGAUCAGAUACCAUCGUAGUCCUGGCUGUAAACCUUACCAUCGAGAGGUCGAGUUGAGACUCCUCGAUUGAUCUUCCCGGAAUCUAAAAGAAAUCGUAAGUUUUUAGGUUACGGGGGGAGUAUGGUCGCAAGGCUGAAACUUAAAAGAAUUGACGGAAGGGCACCACCAGGAGUGGAAUCUGCGGCUUAAUUCGACUCAACACGGGAAAACUCACCAGGUCCAACAAUUGGAUGAUUGUCAGGCUAACGACCUUACUUGAUUAUUUGAAUGGUAGUGCAUGGUCGUUCUUAGUUCGUGGAAUGGUCUGUCAGGUUAAUUCCGAUAACGCACAAGACUUUGGCCCUUAGUUACCACAUCAUUUCUCAUGUUGCUCUAUUUUCGGCCGCAAGCCCUUAAUAGUUUGGUAAAUAAAUGGACUGCCAGCACUUUAGCUGGAGGAAGGACAAGGCUAUAACAGGUCUGUGAUGCUCUUAGAUGUUCUGGGCAGCACGCGUAUUACAAUAAUUAAUACUAUGGGUUAAUUUUUAUUUAAGGUUUUUAUUUUAAAUAAAAUGUCCAACUUUAUAAUUUGAAUUUUUAAUUUGAAUUUUUAAAUAAAGAAGGGAAUCCCUCAAUAUUUUUGUUUUGACUGGGAUUGUCGAUUGUAAUUUCGACAUAAACGAGGAAUUCCUAGUAGGUAUGUGUCAUCAUCACAUGCCGAUUAUGUCCCUGCCCUUUGUACACACCGCCCGUCGCUCCUACCGAUGGAGCUCAAUGGCGAAGAACAUGGAGUUGGGGUUAAACUUAAUAAAAUGUUCUGAACCUUUUUGCUUGUAGGAAGGAGAAGUCGUAACAAGGUCUUC